rnacentral:lncRNA from 1 species
AGUGCUUUAAGAGGUAAAAGGAUCAAAACGAUACAAUUAACAACAAAAAAGGGCAUAGGCUUGUAAUAUGGGUGCCAAAUAAAUGUCUAUAAGCUCCUCAAAAGGGUUAACUAGAGAUAGAUUUUCUUUAUGGUAAGCAAUAAGCUCAAAAAGAUCAAAGAAAGCCUAAAAUCAUUUUUCAAAUCGAGCAUCACCCAAAAUUUCGCUUCAACUCACAUAGCGGGGAAGUUCUAGACUUAAUUACAAUACAUAGACUACAUAAAAAUUUCGCCUUACGUGGCACAUGACUCACUAAGGACGGUCUUAUUCCGACGCUCAAACAUUGCAAGUAUUCACAAAGCCACAAGAUAUUAAACAAUAGGCACAAAGUGAACACAAGUCAAGAAAAUGAGAAAUAGGCGUCACAAAACAUGCUAUCCAACUAAACAAUACAUCAUCAAUAAUUUCAAAAUAUAGGAAUGAUAUUAUACAUGUCAAAACCUAAAUAUAUUACUAUCAAACAAGUAAAUACACCUAGGAAUCUCAUCUUUCUUCCUCCAUUUAUUUCCUAAACUCUAAUCUACUCUAAAAAAAAAUACUACUAUCCGGUUCAAACUACAUCCCAUGGAAAGAACCAAGGCACAAGAAAAACCACAGGGGGUUAUUACCACAUAAAUAAAGCUAAAAGACAUAUUUUUGGAUUAUUUUUCUUAAACUUUAAUCCGUCAAGAAAACUGUCUCAGAGAUUCAUUGUCUGGAGUUCAAUAUUUUCUACUUUUUUUCUUUUUUAUAACUAUUUUUUAAUUAAGCUACUAAAACUACUACUAUUAUACUACACCAUUAAUUCUACUAAUUGUGCUAUUAGAAAUAAGAAACUAGCUAGUAGUAUAACGAUAAUAAACUAACAAUAUACUAAUAUAAUUCUAUAGAAAGAAUAGAAAAUCUUCCACCCCACACUUAAAAGAGUGCAGUACCCUCAAUGCACAAAUAAAGUAAAUAACAAGAAUGGACAAGAAACUCCCUGAAAGACCAAAGGUCGAAGCAAUAGCAGCUCACGGGGAACUCAACUUAUCCCCAUGUAUGAUCCUUUGUGCCGACACCCCACACUUAGUUCCAACCACAUGGCUCACUUUUGUACACUUCCGAUGGUUUUGAUCCCUAUGCUCAAAAUCAUAUAAAAUAAAACAACACUACAAAAAUAAUAAAUAAUAAGAAAGAAAAAAACCAAAAUUAAAAGAAAGUAGUAAAGUUGGGUUUCCUCCCAACAAGCGCCUAAUUUAACAUCGCGCACGACGUGAACCACUUUUUGUCUCCACCUCGAACUUAUGAAUUGAGCCCCUAUUUUGGCUUCGGGCUUUCUGUUAUGCUUUUGGGGCAGUGAGAUAAAUUUAAUUGCGCCAAGUAACCAAUAUCGCAUCCUACACUUCUUGACAUUCGGAUGAGUUAUGUAAUUAUCUUUCUCUCUCUCUCUGGAAUGACGAAUUAAAGAAUACAAGCACCUUGUUCCUCAUCCGUUGGCUCCUCCAAAGGCUCAGGUGACUCAAUUCUAUGUCAUCAUCCAAAUACAAUGUUGAAAAGUGUAUAAAAUAAGGAUCAAUACACCUAACUCUAGAUUUGUAUUACUCUUUACAUCCUCAUAUUUACACACUAAAGUCUCCAACUAUAGUAUUAUCUACUUCUUCACAUGACUCUAGAGUGAUUUCUUCUACAUGGACAUUAUCAAUAAAAGCAUGAUCGAAUGAUUGACUCUCGACUUUUAGCUCCUCAAUUUGGCGUAUAAGCUCCUUUUCAGUUUCACACAACUCACAACUAUUUUUUUGGGCGUUAGACGCAUCAACCUUAGAAUUGAGCUUCCAUGUCGUGAAUACUAGUGCUAAAUUUUUUGAUCUCUUAUCCUAGUCCAGCUCUUCCUUCUAUUAAAUCUUUUAUUCCAUCUGUAAUUUUCUCACAUUGAGCUUUAUAUAUUUCUAAUCGUUCAGCUUGUUCCAUUAGCCAACUUUGGCUCAAAAUCUCCAUUUUUUUCAAAAUUUUCCUUUUGUUGGAAAAUAUCAUCUUCAUUCAAUUCUUCCAUAUUAGCCUCCAUUCUUGUGAUUGUUGCCCUCAUUCUUUUCAUAUCGUUUUUGAGUCCAUCUUGUUGCUCUGCUACUUGCGUCAAAAUGUCCCUAAUAUAUGCACCACGUUCCAUAUCCUGCACUUCCUUGUCCCUAUCAAACUCACAAGCACUGUUAGAAAGAUCAAAAUAAGGGCUCAGAGAAGGAUCAACAAAAAUAAGGACAACCAUCCCAAUGGACAUCUUGACUACCUCGCAUAUUAGAAAUAUUCCACUCAAUGGAUUGAGAUCAUGCGUAUAACUCUCUCCCGAAAAUAUUCUGAUAAUUUUUCCACCAGUAGGAUCCUCUAUUAUAUAGGCAAGGAACAUCAAAAUAAGACUAACAAUCAUUCGAAUAAUUUUCAUUCCAAGAUGCCAUGCUAAAAUUAAAAAAAAUACUAACUAAACUAGAACACAAAACUAUGAAUAGAUUAAAAAAAAUGUUUAAUCAAGAAAAAUAGCUAAUUUCUAAGUCCCUGGCAACUGCGCCAAAAACUUGUUGCGGCCAAACUCACACGCAAGUAUAUGCGGUGCGGUCGUCAAGUAAUAAAGUGACUAAAGGUCGGAUAUCAAACUCACGAGGACUUUCCAUUAACUUUUAACUAAGUUAGACUAUCCUAAUUAUCUAAACAAGAUUAAACCUAGAAAUAUUCGAUUCUAGAGUAAUUAAAAUAAAGAAAACAACUAGUGAACUCUGAACAAGGAAAAAGUAGAUUUUUAUGAUAUCAAUGUAAUGAAAAUGAUUUAAGGUUAUGGGAUAUCUAACAUUCCUAUUGUAUUCUUCAAUUGAUUAACUAAUUUAUCUAGUUUAUUUAUUAAUAUAGUUAAUAUUGCUCAUAAGAAUAUGUCGAGUUCUUACUCGCCUAUUCAAGUUAACCUAACGCCUAUAUGUCAAUAGAAUUAGAAUUAGCAAGAACACAUUUGUAAUUCCUAUAAAUUAACCAAGCAAGGCAAUUAGGUAUAUAUCUAUCCUAACCACCAAUCUAUUCCCCAAUUCCCAGGUUCAAAACUUGCUCUACUCAAUCCUGUGUGCAAUCUAAAUUUUCACUUACGAGUUCAAUUCUUGAUGCAUAGAUAGUAUUCAAAUGGCGAUCAAGAAAUUAAAUAAUUAAGUGUAGGAUUGAAUAAAUAAACUAAUAUGAUAAAUUAAGAAAUCAAAAGCAAUAUUCGAAUAACAAUAGUCAUGAAAUAACCACAACCCUAGAACGUGAAGUUUAGCUCCACGUAGAUAUGGUAGCAAAAUAACAAAUCAUACGAAGAAACAUAAAAAUUACUAAGUUUGGAGGAAGAAAAGAUGGAACUUGAUGAAUUCUGGCCUCCACGACGACUUUAUGCUUGUGUUUUCCUCUAAAAACGUCCUCUUCUCUCAAAAUAAGUAUAUGUUGAUUUUUAUAUGGGUUGGGGGCGUUUUAGGGUCGAAAUAAUCGAGUCCUAGUCGAACUAGGACGUAUUUGCGUUUUUCGCGUCCAGGACAACGUGGGGUGCUGGCCCUGGCCCUCAACAUUUGAACAUUCUGUAAAUUGCGCCACACCCAGCACCCCACGCUGGUUGUGGCCCUCAAAUUUCACUUUUUGGCCUUUCUUUCCAAUUUCGCUCCAAUUCGCGCUAUUUCGUCCCAAAUUGCAUUCAAAGGAUUCGUACACAUAGAAAUACCACAAUUUAGCACAAAUCAUCAUAUUAAACAUCUCAAAUCUACGACACAUGAACAAAAUGUGAGGCUUUUUAUAUCAAAUAUGCAUAUUAAGCUGAUUAUCAGAAAACCGUGCGGGUUUGGCUCAAAAUGAAUAAUAUCACAUUAUGUUAAAAGGAUCUUUGAACUAGUUGAGUCCAACAAUGAUAAAUUAAAAAUUUACACUCCCUCCGGUCCACAAUAAGUGACCAGUUUGCUUUUGGAACACUCAUUAAGAAAAUAUUAAAUUCUAGACGAAAAUAGUUAGUGUGACUAAACUACCUUUUAUUAAAUAUUGCAACAUAAAUAAUAUUAGAAGUAAAAGACUUUUAGGGAUACAUACGUGAGGGUAAUUUUGAAAAAACAAAUUGAAUUGUUUCUUAGUUAUACAAAUGAAAAUUUAUUUUGGACCAAAAUAAAAAAGUAAAUUAAUCACUUAUUAUGAACCAAAAGAAAUAAUAUUCGACUGGAAAUAAUUGAAACAAAUGAUCCACUUAAUUAAUAGGCUCUAUAGUUUGAAUUAUAUUAGUAGUUUAGUAUUUUAUUCCUUUCAUGAAUUUGGUCAAUUAUUAGAGGGGUUGAGAAUGGUAUUUUUGAGCGAUCAAAUUAAAAUGUUUGGAUGAAAUUUCGUAAAAUUCCGGAAUCGAGAUGCUAAAUCGGUGCAAGUAUAUGUCAUGGGGCAAAUAGAAAAGUAGAAAACUCGCCUAGUUGGAUGAGAUUUGAGAUUAAGAGUUGGCCCAAAAUUCAGCUGGAGCCUGAAAAAUAUAAAAAGAAUCAAAAAAUCUCAAAUAAUUAAACAAUUUUUUUUUAAAAUAACAGAACCCUAAGCUAAGCUAAAGGAAUACAAUAGAACCUUUUUUCCCUUGUGCUUUUUAAAAUUGAUCGCUUCUUCCUGAAGAAAUCCACGCUUAUUAUUUAUGGGUGGAGGAAGUGGCGGAGUUCGAUUUCUACUGAAGGGAUUCAAAAAAGUUAAAAAAAAUUAAAAGAAGUUGUGGCUUGUGAAAGAAUGGACCUUGGGCCUAACUCAACCCCAAAAGCUAACUUAUAAGGUGAGGAUUGUCCAAGCGAUAUAAGGAGACCAAAGACCUCAAAUCCCUCCGAUGUGGGACAACUCAACACCCCCCCUCACGCCCAGAUCUCUGGAACGUGGACAACAUAAAUGGGGGCCCAACAUCGGUAACAAUAAUUGGGAUGAGCCUGGCUCUGAUACCAUGAUNNNNNNNNNNNNNNNNNNNNNNNNNNNNNNNNNNNNNNNNNNNNNNNNNNNNNNNNNNNNNNNNNNNNNNNNNNNNNNNNNNNNNNNNNNNNNNNNNNNNNNNNNNNNNNNNNNNNNNNNNNNNNNNNNNNNNNNNNNNNNNNNNNNNNNNNNNNNNNAAGAAUGGACCUUGGGCCUAACUCAACCCCAAAAGCUAAACAAGGUGCUUCUUCUUCUCGCCAUCCAUAUCAAGAUGGAUCGGUUCUAUUCUUUGAAUCCAACCAAAAGCUAGCUUAUGAGGUGAGGAUUGCCCAAACCAUAUAAGGAGACCAAGGACCUCAAAUCUCUCCGAUGUGGGACAACUCAACAGAUUGUGGGAAUACAACUAGCAACCUCACAAAGGUUUUGAAUCUCCUUGGCCAUCAAGUUAUGCUUUUAAACUGUUUAUAGAAACUCCAAAACAUAAUAUAUAAAGGCAAAAAUUAAAUUUUAUCUUUUAUAUAUAGUAUAAUUUUUCGUCCACCCGUCCCGUGCAAGGUAAUUAGGAAUGGAUUACGUACACUUAUUUCCCUACUAAGUUUUCCAAAUUUUAUUUUUGGGUUCAAAGGCUAAACCAAAAUAGUACUUAUUCCCUAUGCUUUCCUUCACAAUUUUUCUUUUUUUUUUUUUUUUGGUUAGCCUUAUUAGCUAGACAUUCAUCUUACUUUUCUAAUUUCGCUUUCUCAUUUUUAAUCCUUGUUCCUUUGUUUUGCUAUACAAAAAUCUGAAUAUACCCACUAGAAUAUAAAUAAGAAAUAGCUUUUUUACGAAAAUGUUUUUACUGUUUUCUUUAAAUUAAAAAACUGGCGACCAACACCGAAAUUGACUUAUUGUCGAAAAAAUGUCUUCCAAAUACGACCAACACGUCAGAUGAAGAGAUAUUAGUAAUAUAAAAAAGAGGGAGGUAAAAUGAUACACUUGCUAAAUUAUUUGCCUGUUGAAAAUAAAAAUAAAAAUCGUUUUGUUUGUACGUUGUUUUAAUAUUAAAGAUUCUAGAUUUUCUCUUCCCUUAUUACCUUUGUUGGCCGUUUGGACAUAUAUUUGUUUUUACUUUUUAAAAAAUAGUUAAAAAUAUUAUUUGAUCAUGAAUUUUGAUCAAUUUUUGUCAAAAAACCAAUUUUUGGGUAAAAAUUUUUCUUUCACUUAUAAAACUUCAAUUAUUUCAAGUAAAAUAAAUAUUCAAAUAACUUCAACUUUUAAAAAUUAUUUUUUAAAUUUCAAUCAAAUCUAUUCGGAGACGCCAGUUAAUUCGAUAAUAUUUAUAUAAUGUGUGACCAGCUAUCCUACAACACGUGUCUGAUUACUUGUCGUGUGUUAUUAUUGGUCAGAAACCCCCCCACACCCCCCCCCACCCUAAUAAAAACAAACAAACAAAACAAUGAAUAUUUUUUUGCGUCCCCCGCGGUUGUCCAAAGGCCAGAUUUAGCUAAAAUUUCUUUGAUUUUACAACCAUUGGAGGAGUUUUUUGUAGCUAUAUAUAUAGACAAGUUUGUUCAUAACACAUUCAUAAUUACAAAUACGUGGAGACUUGAAAAGAGAAGCUAAGAGAUUUAUCAUAACUAAUUACUUAAUUAGUACUACUGUUAUUAUUAUUAUUAUGGCGAUUCAAAGGUUAGAGAUAUGUAUAGAGAUGGUGAAAAUGGCAAUAGAGUUUGUGACUGUAUUUGUGGAAGCAGUUGGUACUGUCAUUUCUAAAGACAAUUCUUCCUCGUCUUCUUCCUCAUCACAUGACUCCAAUAUUCUUCCAAUACCCUACGUUGGUCUUCUCCCUUAAAAUUUAUCUAAAGAUCUAACGUGCACUCCGUCUAGCUUUUCAAGGCAGGGGUAAGGCAGUCUUCUCAGACAUCACUCGUGAGAUUAUACUAAAUUUAUUGUUGUUAUACAUACAGUUGUCCAUGGCCCACACUUUGAAAUGUAAAUUAAGCUGUAAAGAGAUUUCUUGGGAAUAAAGCUUUUGAUUCUUUCUUUUCUUUACUUUUCUCCAUUUUGUCUUUCUUUAUUUUAGAUGCACUAGCUUGUAUGGCUCUUAACAGCUUGUUUGGAUGGUUGUUAUAUAUUACAUUAUGAUAUAUUGUUAUUUUAAAUACAAUAUUUAUUUUGAUUAUUAAUAACAAAAGUGUCAUUCUAUAUAACGACGAAUUUGGUGUGAUGCCGUCGUUAUUUUGCUCUUUUAUUUUGAUAGCCUUUACACAUAUUAUAGAUGGGCUAAGAUAUCUUAUUAAAGUUUGUACGUAAUUUAUUGCAUGGUAAGUGAAAUAUAUUCAUAUUGCUA